UACAGGGGGUGCAAGCGUUGCUCGGAAUCACUGGGCGUAAAGCGCACGUAGGCGGCUUCUUAAGUCAGGGGUGAAAUCCUGGGGCUCAACCCCAGAACUGCCCUUGAUACUGAGGAGCUUGAGUCCGGGAGAGGUGAGUGGAACUCCGAGUGUAGAGGUGAAAUUCGUAGAUAUUCGGAAGAACACCAGUGGCGAAGGCGGCUCACUGGCCCGGUACUGACGCUGAGGUGCGAAAGCGUGGGGAGCAAACAGG
rnacentral:rRNA from 1 species